AUACGGAGGGUGCAAGCGUUGCUCGGAAUCACUGGGCGUAAAGCGUACGCAGGCGGCCUGUUAAGUCGGGUGUGAAAGCCCGGGGCUCAACCCCGGAACUGCAUUCGAAACUGGCAGGCUUGAAUACGGGAGAGGGAAGCGGAAUUCCUGGUGUAGGGGUGAAAUUCGUAGAUAUCAGGAGGAACACCAGUGGCGAAAGCGGCUUCCUGGCCCGAUAUUGACGCUCAUGUACGAAAGCGUGGGGAGCAAACAGGAUUAGAAACCCCGGUAGUCC
rnacentral:rRNA from 1 species